rnacentral:rRNA from 1 species
AACGAACGCUGGCGGCGUGCCUCAGACAUGCAAGUCGAACGAUUAAAGCUCUCUUCGGAGAGUGUAUAGAGUGGCGCACGGGUGAGUAACACGUAAGUAAUCUACCUUCGAGUGGGGAAUAACGUCCGGAAACGGACGCUAAUACCGCAUAAUGCAGCGGCAUCGCAAGAUGACAGUUGUUAAAGAAUUUAUUCGCUUGAAGAGGAGCUUGCGGCAGAUUAGCUGUUGGUAAGGUAACGGCUUACCAAGGCUACGAUCUGUAACCGGUCUAAGAGGACGGUCGGUCACACUGACACUGACAUACGGGUCAGACUCCUACGGGAGGCAGCAGUCGGGAAUUUUGGGCAAUGGGCGAAAGCCUGACCCAGCAACGCCGCGUGAAGGAUGAAAUCCCUCGGGAUGUAAAC